AGGCUUAGCCUCUCAAGAUAUCUCAUCAUCCGAUGAGUUUUUUUAUUAGUCAUGUGUGCUAAUGCUCGUGAGAGUAUGGUAUACAAAAAACAAAAAGUUGAGU
rnacentral:sRNA from 12 species